rnacentral:tRNA from 1 species
GCAUCGAUGGUUCAGUGGUAGAAUACUCGCCUGCCACGCGGGCGGCCAGGGUUCGAUUCCCGGCCGAUGCA